UAUUGCACAAUGGGGGGAACCCUGAUGCAGCGACGCCGCGUGAGGGAAGACGGUUUUCGGAUUGUAAACCUCUGUCUUUAGGGACGAAACAAAUGACGGUACCUAAAGAAGAAGCCCCGGCUAACCACGUGCCAGCAGCCGCGGUAAUACGUAGGGGGCAAGCGUUAUCCGGAAUUACUGGGUGUAAAGGGAGCGUAGACGGUGAUGUAAGUCUGGAGUGAAAGGCGGGGGCCCAACCCCCGGACUGCUCUGGAAACUAUGUGACUGGAGUGCAGGAGAGGUGAGCGGAAUUCCUAGUGUAGCGGUGAAAUGCGUAGAUAUUAGGAGGAACACCAGUGGCGAAGGCGGCUCACUGGACUGUAACUGACGUUGAGGCUCGAAAGCGUGGGGAGCAAACAGG
rnacentral:rRNA from 1 species